CCUACGGGAGGCAGCAGUCGAGAAUCAUUCACAAUGGGGGAAACCCUGAUGGUGCGACGCCGCGUGGGGGAAUGAAGUUCUUCGGAUUGUAAACCCCUGUCAUGUGGGAGCAAAUUACAAUGCUCGUACCACAAGAGGCAGAGACGGCUAACACUGUGCCAGCAGCCGCGGUAAUACAGAGGUCUCAAGCGUUGUUCGGAAUCACUGGGCGUAAAGCGUGCGUAGGCUGUUUCGUAAGGCGUGUGUGAAAGGCGCGGGCUCAACCCGCGGUCGGCCCAUGAUACUGCGAGACUAGAGUAAUGGAGGGGGAACCGGAAUUCUCGGUGUAGCAGUGAAAUGCGUAGAUAUCGGGAGGAACACUCGUGGCGAAGGCGGGUUCCUGGACAUUAACUGACGCUGAGGCACGAAGGCCAGGGGAGCGAAAGGGAUUAGAUACCCGGGUAGUC
rnacentral:rRNA from 1 species